GACGAACGCUGGCGGCGUGCCUAAUACAUGCAAGUCGAGCGGACCGAAGGGAGCUUGCUCUUUUAGGUUAGCGGCGGACGGGUGAGUAACGCGUGGAUAACCUGCCUCACACUGGGGGAUAACAGUUAGAAAUGGCUGCUAAUACCGCAUAAGCGCACAGUACCGCAUGGUACGGUGUGAAAAACCCAGGUGGUGUGAGAUGGAUCCGCGUCUGAUUAGCCAGUUGGCGGGGUAACGGCCCACCAAAGCGACGAUCAGUAGUCGACCUGAGAGGGUGACCGGCCACAUUGGGACUGAGACACGGCCCAA
rnacentral:rRNA from 1 species